rnacentral:piRNA from 1 species
GCCAUUCUACGACCAUGUGCUGAGGAAGGC